GAAAAUAUAAAUAAUGAAAUAAUUGACAAUUAUCAUCAGAUAGUUUGAAAUUAUACCGCAAUUUUCUAAUGGAUAUUAAAAAAUUCAUCUGAGACAUUUACAUUCUUUAGUUUUUUUUGGACGUGUACAUACGCUUGGUAAUGGAUGCAUUUGCGUUAACAAUUGCCUAUAGGCACCCAUUCAAAAUGGGCAGAUUUGACCCGUCUCACAAAAGAGAAGCAUAUUGCUGAUGUAAUUACGGCUUAAAAGAUUGAAACGCAAACAGUAAAAAGGGGCUCUUUGGCGUACAAUGGAUUCAAGUGUCGCUUUCGAAGGUUCAAUUUGAAUUUAAAAUAAUUUCGAUAGAAAAAAUAGUUUACGAUCAAUUGUAACGAUUUUAUCACUUUUUCGGCUAGUAUAAUCCAAUAUAGUUAUCAUAAUCAAUCUAA